UUUGAGGUCUAUCCCGAUAGGUCUUUUUCAGUAGGACCACAUCGUUGGAAAAACCUCACAAAGAAAACCUGCAGUUCAGCUUUACCCACUAAUCCAUAGCAGUUGGAUAUUUGGGAUAAAACUGCAGAAUACUA
ensembl:snoRNA SNORA18 small nucleolar RNA, H/ACA box 18